UACGUAGGGCGCAAGCGUUGUCCGGAAUUAUUGGGCGUAAAGAGCUCGUAGGCGGCUUGUCACGUCGAUUGUGAAAGCCCGAGGCUUAACCUCGGGUCUGCAGUCGAUACGGGCUAGCUAGAGUGUGGUAGGGGAGACUGGAAUUCCUGGUGUAGCGGUGAAAUGCGCAGAUAUCAGGAGGAACACCGGUGGCGAAGGCGGGUCUCUGGGCCGAUACUGACGCUGAGGAGCGAAAGCGUGGGGAGCGAACAGG
rnacentral:rRNA from 1 species